GCCAGGCAUGGUGGCACACGCCUGUAAUCCCAGGGGCUCUGAGGCUGAGACAGGAGGAUCAAGAGUGGGUUCAAAGCCACCCUCUGCAAAAGCAAGGCACCAAGCAACUCAGUGAGACCCUGUCUCUA
rnacentral:sRNA from 1 species